GCACAGAGUUAGCCGGGGCUUCCUCACCCGGUACCGUCAAACUCUGACGUGUUAGGUCAGAGCAUUUCGUCCCGAGCAACAGGAGUUUACAAUCCGAAGACCUUCAUCCUCCACGCGGCGUUGCGUCGUCAGGCUUGCGCCCAUUGCGAACAAUUCCCCACUGCUGCCUCCCGUAGGAGUCUGGGCCGUGUCUCAAUCCCAGUGUGUCCGUCCGCCCUCUCAGGCCGGAUACUGAUCGUCGCCUUGGUGGGCCGUUACCUCACCAACUAGCUAAUCAGACGCGGGCCCCUCUUCAAACGCCAGGUCUUGCGAUCCCCAGCUUUGAUCUCCACCUCUUCAAAGGCAGGAUGUUAUGCGGUAUUAGCGUCCCUUUCGGGACGUUAUCCCCCAUUCGAAGGUAGGUCACCCACGUGUUACUCACCCGUUCGCCACUCUACUCAUGGAUUGCUCCACUUUCGCGUUCGACUUGCAUGUGUUAGGCACGCCGCCAGCGUUGAUU
rnacentral:rRNA from 1 species